rnacentral:rRNA from 1 species
GAUGAACGCUAGCGGCAGGCCUAACACAUGCAAGUCGAGGAGAAGCCUUUCGGGGGCAGAAACCGGCGCACGGGUGCGUAACGCGUAUGCAACCUACCUUUCACAGGGGGAUAGCCCGAAGAAAUUUGGAUUAAUACCCCAUAAUAUUAUUGGAUGGCAUCAUUUGAUAAUUAAAACUGCGGUGGUGAAAGAUGGGCAUGCGUCCUAUUAGCUAGUUGGAGUGGUAACGGCACCCCAAGGCUACGAUAGGUAGGGGUCCUGAGAGGGAGAUCCCCCACACUGGUACUGAGACAGGGACCAGACUCCUACGGGAGGCAGCAGUGAGGAAUAUUGGUCAAUGGUCGGAAGACUGAACCAGCCAUGCCGCGUGCAGGAAGAAUGCCUUAUGGGUUGUAAACUGCUUUUAUAUGGGAAGAAUAAGGCGUACGUGUACGAUGAUGACGUACCAUAUGAA